rnacentral:lncRNA from 1 species
CCCACCAACGAAAUAUAAUAACAAAACAUCCUAACAUAUACAACAAAACAAAAAACAACACAAAAAAUUACAAUCACAUUUAUCAACGAAACAUCACAUUCACAAACAAAAUCAACAUUCAUCAAAAAAAUUACAAUAUUCCAACGAAACAUCACACAAUAACACAAUAUAAUAUAAUAUAAUAUAAUAUAAUACAAUAUAACUAUAAU